UACGUAGGGACCAAGCGUUGUCCGGAAUCAUUGGGCGUAAAGAGCGUGUAGGCGGCCCCUUAAGUCCUGCGUGAAAUCCUGCGGCUCAACCGCAGACGGUCGUGGGAAACUGGAGGGCUAGAGUGCGGGAGAGGAGAGUGGAAUUCCCGGUGUAGCGGUGAAAUGCGCAGAUAUCGGGAAGAACACCCGUGGCGAAGGCGGCUCUCUGGAACGCAACUGACGCUGAGACGCGAAAGCGUGGGGAGCAAACAGG
rnacentral:rRNA from 1 species